AGACACCUGCCCUGGGGCUGUGUUGCUCUUCUGACAGUUCAGACUCAGUGUGCAAAGAGAUUUCUGUUUGAAAGACUAUGAGGGAUCUGCAUCAACUCUACUGACUUGAGUCCAGCCACAAAUUAUUUGUGACAUGGGUGAGAAACACGUGAAGCUUUGGUAGGAGCUGAAUUUCCAUCAGCAGAGAAAUCCUGGCAGCAUAAAAAAAGGAGUAGAAGCUCACCAAAAACGUCCUAGGGUGGAAAUAGGGAAGGGCUACAAGGAGAUGACGAACCCUUUGGCUCAGCUGACAGAUGGAAGCAGAGGUGUCUGGAUGAGAUGCUCCUCUGCAAGGACCAAACCAGGAGGCCAUGGCCACCCCCAGCCAAUCUCCUUGCUGCUGAUGCACACACCAAAAUUUGGCCUGGCAAAGGCCUUUUC